GCUGCUUUCCAUGACCUGGAUGUUGAAGUCCAAAGAGGUGAACAAUGGAAAGACAUCAGCUGUGAGUCAGUGGGGAGUGUCUGAGGAUGGAGGCGCUAUGGCUCCCUGGAGAUCUCUUGGUGUGUCCACAUGCCGGGUGGGUCCACGGACAGGAGCUCUUCUGGUGCUUCCCUCACUCCCCACCCGACCCAUGCAGUACCCACCCUCUGCAGCUGGGCCCUCCAGCUGGCUCAGCUCAGCCCUGUUUCAUGUUUAGUCGGUCUUUGAUCUUCACUCUUUAACUAAAGCCAGAGCCAGGUGAAACCUGAUUUUAUCCUUUUCUCAAAUGUG
rnacentral:lncRNA from 1 species